CACGUAGGCACCAAGCGUUGUCCGGAUUUAUUGGGCGUAAAGAGCUCGUAGGCGGUUCAGUAAGUCGGGUGUGAAAACUCUGGGCUCAACCCAGAGACGCCACCCGAUACUGCUGUGACUUGAGUACGGUAGGGGAGUGGGGAAUUCCUGGUGUAGCGGUGAAAUGCGCAGAUAUCAGGAGGAACACCGGUGGCGAAGGCGGGUCUCUGGGCAGUAACUGACGCUGAGGAGCGAAAGCGUGGGGAGCGAACAGG
rnacentral:rRNA from 1 species